rnacentral:rRNA from 1 species
UACGGAGGGUGCAAGCGUUGUCCGGAAUCAUUGGGUGUAAAGGGUGCGUAGGCGGGAGCCUAAGUCGGGGGUGAAAUCUUGCCGCUUAACGGUAAAAUUGCCUUCGAUACUGGGUUUCUUGAGUACAGAAGAGGUCGGUGGAAUUCGUAGUGUAGCGGUGAAAUGCAUAGAUAUUACGAAGAACAUCAGUGGCGAAGGCGGCCGGCUGGACUGUAACUGACGCUGAGGCACGAAAGCGUGGGGAGCGAACAGG